GGUUCCGUGGUCUAGUUGGUUACGACGUCUGCUUCACAUGCGAUAGCCUAGAAUCGCAGAAGGUCCUGGGUUCGAGCCCCAGCGGAGCCA
rnacentral:tRNA from 1 species